GACCUUUCAAUUACGUAAUUCGCAACCCUUGUUCUUAUUUCAUUUUACUGUCUUCACAAAUCAACCUUGUACAGCAAAGAAAGAAAGAAAAAAUUGCAGCAACCCAAAUCAGUGGCCUACUUGCGACCUCCUUCCGCAGAUCGGCGGCAGAAUCCCAACCCCUCUCUAUUCCUAUCUUAGAUCGCAACCCUAGCACCCAUCUGUCUUUCCUCCUCUCUCUCCGCAUCCUCUAACCCUAGCCCAAACAAUUAGUGGUGGCGACGACCUAGUGUUGGCGGCAUAAUGGUGCUCUCCUUCUGCUUCAACCUCUUGCAUUAUUGUCCAAUUGAAGGUACAAAUUUCCUUCCUUUUGAAUUUCCCCUACAAAUUCUAAUCAUCACUGUUAGGAUAUAAAUCUAUCAAGCCUCUAUUCAUCAUCUCUCUCCCAUACGCCUCGGGAUUAGCUCUGCAUCUUAGUGAAAGAUUUUAAAGGUAUGCUCAAGAGAAUCUCUUUAUCCAGUUUCAUGUGUAUAUAUUUAUUAUAUGUAUAUACACAUACAAACUGCAACGAUUACAAAGAAAAUAGUGAUAAUUCAUUUCUUUUGAGUUUGAACUUAUCAAUUGCUUGAGCUCAAAAUCCUGUAUUUGGGAGGUCUAAACUCAAAAUUUUGACAUUUAUGUGGUUGGUAUUCUUAACUGUGAUUAGUUUUAUUUAAGAGUAAGUUUUCUUUGAAUUUCAGCAUGCCAGUUCAGUAUUGAUCAGUGGCUUUAUUUCACUUUUAAAGAUUCUAAAGUUGUUUAGAUUGCAACAAAAAUUGACAUUUUACUAACAUUUGAGUUUUGAAUUUAGGUUAUUUUUCUCAAGGAUUUUUUUUGGGGUUUGAUUUGGUGCUUUAGUUUCAACACCCUAAUUUUUAAAAUUAUUUUGAGGUCUCCCAAAUGGUAAAUUGGUAGCUCUUUCUGUCUUGAUGUUGAUUUUUAUUGUGGGUUACACAUUUGCCUAGUGAAUUAGAAUCUUCUUUAUUUGGAAUUGUGAAUUUUUUCUUUGUUGUUUAAUUUAAAGUGGCACUUAAAGUCGGAAUAGUGAGGAUAUUGGAUACUAUUUGAUGAGUGAUGUACCUAGGGAAUUGGUAUUCAGUUCGUUUGCUUAAACAUUUGCAAUCAAAAUUUGUCUAGAAUUACCAGCGGAAGGGUUUUCUAUUCAGUUUUUCCCUUUCACAAAAUUCGACAAACUUAAUGAGAAAUUUGAUUGUGAAAACUUAAUGUGAAAUUCUAUUUUUUGUGGAAUCUCUUGUUGAAUGUAUGUGUAUGUUUCCUUGUUAACGGUGUGAUUUUUUUACUAUUAUCUUAGAACGUUAUCUGCGACGCCCCCAAAAUAGGUAUACAUCACCCAUCUUGAGUCAUCAAAUAUAUGGUACAGAAUUCAAAUACAAACUUAAAUAUACAACAUGAGCUGUGAGUUUUAAUACAAAUAUUAUUUUCUAGACAGUAUUCAAACUUAAAUAAGUCCUCAAUACAUUUAUUAUCACACUAUUUUAAAGAAUAGUGAGAACUACUAAUGCAAACAUCUGGACCGUCAAUCCAUUCUCCGACUAGUCCCAGCUAUAUUCUCAUUUCCUGAAGAGAACAGUGAAAGAAAGAGUGAGCUCAAUUAGCCCAUUAAGAAAUAUUAUGACUAAGAUAAUGCAGAAUAAAUUAUCCUUAGCCUUCAACAGUAUAACAACUGAUAGAAUAUAAUGGACAACAAGUUUUAAAUCAACAACUGCAGCGGAAUAAACAAUCCAUUAAAAGAGUCAAGUAGAGCAUGAUAUCUACUAUCUUCUAUGAUUUAAAAGAUUUAUCAUCGAUUUUAUCGCUGAGACUCAACUUAAUAAAUAAUCCACAUCAUCGAAUGAUCCUUGCACUACGGGCCAAUGAUAUUCAUUAGUAUCACGAUCACGAAUUAUUCAUGCACUACGGGCCAAAGAUAAUCUUGUUUUCAUCAACGGUCAUAAUCAUGCCAUAAAAAAAUUCACCUUUGCACCCUUGGCCGAAGAGAAUCCAUGGCCAUAAUCAUACCAAAAACUGUCCAUCAAUGCACUAUGGGCCAAUGAGGACUUUUACCACAUCAUUUGUAACAUUACGGUCAUGAUUAUACCGAAUAAUCCCUGGUCAUAAUCAUAUCAAGUACAUCUAUGCACUACGAGCCAAAGAUGACUUUCAAAACAAUAUAAGCAUGAGGAUGAUGACAAUGACAUAAUAAUUCAAUAAAACAAGUUCAAGGAUAAAUUUUCAAGAUUUAUAAUUUAAUUUAUCCAGAAAUCAAUAACUUCCAAAUUGUAAAUAUGAUACUGCUUUGUGGAGUAAAAUUCAAGAAUAAUAUUGUACUAAAAAUAAUUUGGACCAAAAAUGAAUCAAUUUUUAUCAUGAAUAGUACCCUAGGUGAAUAGUACCCCGUGAAUAGUAUUUCGGGAAUAGUAACCUCGUGAAUAGUACUCCGGCAUGAAAAAGUUUAAACUUAUCAAGAAUGCUCAGAAUAAUAUUUUCAUGAAAAGAUACUAGAUGAAGCGCAAAUAUCAAGGAUAUUCUACUAAUUUCAUGGAGUAUAGAAGCCAAAACUUUAACAAAACGAGUAUAAAAUUCGAAAUCUGAAACGAAAUAAUAUAACUUACAUACUACAGAGUAUGAAGAAAAAUAUUAUUUCAAGCGAAUAUUGAACAAUAAUAACUUCCAUUACGAAUAUUAAACGAAAAUAAUAUUCAUUACGAAUAUAAUAUUUCUUGCGAAUAUUGAACGAAAUAAAAUUUUUUAUGAAUAUUAAAUUGAAAUAAUAUUCAUAAGAAUACGAAAAAUAAUAUCUCUUCAGAGUGUGAAAUAAAUAAUACCCCUUAGCUCAAAAAAUAGAGCAACUCCGAUUGGUAUAGCGGAUAUAUUCUUGAAGAAAAUUUUUACUGUUUUCUACACUCAAAGCUUCCUAAAAGUCGAAAGAAAUACGCUCAAUAUUAUAGAAGAAGAAUUCUCUGAUUCUGGUGUGAUUUUCAAUUCUAACUAAGCAUCCUAUUUAUAGGAGAAUGAAAAGGAUACUAUUUGAGCGCACAGUGCACAAAGGUUCACGGGCAGAAUUCUGAAUUCACGGACGAAGAAAAAUUUUCGUAUAACUUUACUAUACAAACACUAUACAUAAUAAAAUAUAAUAUAUUCUAUUUUUCAUAAAAAAUAAAACUUAUUAUAAUAUAUAUAUAUAUAUAUAUAUAAUAUAACACAAAUAGUACACCUCUCGUGACUCUGCAAACUUUCCUCCCAAUUUCAUAUUUCUUCCACACGUGGGCCCCACAUGUGGUCCCUACAUGUGGACCCCACCUUUAAUAAAUUGAAUAACUUUCUACCGAUUAUUUUGAAAAAUGGGUAAAUGGGGGUCCAUAAAUACAACAAAUAUUUCAUAAAAAUUCUCUCAAUAUUUUUAACAAUAUUUAUUCAUUAUUAUUGUAAUUCGUAAUAUUAACAACCAGCUCGUUCCCAGGAAAGAGGGGGCUUUCCAAUAAGGAUUUCUCCCUAUUGGCGCGCAAUUAGGUGACCAAAUCUCUCCCUGACAGAACUUUUAGACAUUGUUAAUUAUGCAAAUAAUAAUAUGAAAUACUUAUCAUCUCAAUUAUUGAUUUAAUAAUAUAUAAAAUAUUGACAAUAAUUGAAUCAAAUAACGUGAGAUACAAUGCAGCAAUUUCUAUAGCAAUAAUUGAACAAAAUUGAGUGACUUCUUACGUAAGCAUCAAUAAUCAAUACCGUGUGCUACUAUAUAACCACGCGUAUUACUGUACUUUUACUACCGGGUAGUUCAACAGUUUAACGGUAAAACUUCCGCCAUUAUUUUUAUAAAAAGAUAUUUCUGUCGUUUUCUCAUUCUAACAAUAAUUUCGUUUUGGGGUUCACCAAUAAUUGUGCCGUCGUACGAAUAUUCCCUGUUAAAACGAAUAUUCCCCGACCAAUCGAAUAUUAUAUAAUAACUUGCUUUCUUUGCAAAAUUUAUAAAUAUUACCCACUACUAUAACAUUAUAUCAAAUCUACACCAUAAUAUUAAAAAAAAUAUUUCAAGAAAAUUAAAUCUUUAUUCAUAAAAUUUGGGGUCUCACAAUCUCCCCUCCUUAUGAAAUUUUGCCCUCAAAAUUUACGUACGUACCUGGUAUACCGAACAGAUGAGGACACUUCGUCAGAUUCUAACUCUUGAGGUAUAACCCUUUGAGCGUAGAAUAUAUUCCUUCUUAUCUAAGAUUUUAACAGGUACAUCUUCAUACAUUUAAUCUUUCGCUAUCUCGUCCGGUUCUAAAUCAAUAAUGUGGUUCGGGUCGUCCCCAUAUUUACGUAACAUCGAUUCGUGAAAAACAUGCGACAUACUUGGCAUUAAGGCGAGUCUAUAGGCCACAAUUCCUACUCGAUCGAGGAUUUCAAAUAGGCCUUUUAAAUCGAGGGUUGAGAUUUCCUCUCGUCAUCGACUCUUUCUUCUAGAAUAACCCCUUCUUGAACCUUCUUCUUCAUAUUCAUCAACUCCAGGUCUGUAGCUUGAGCGAUUUUAACAUUAUCGAUUAAAGUCGAUUCUACUCGUAUAUUUAAAAUCAUCACGUGGGUUUUUAACUAUAUCUCCAUUAAUUGUAAGUUAUACGAAAUGAGUUUUUGUGUUAACAUCACACUCGUAUACGAUCUUCUACUCAACGCGUCAGCUACCACAUUCGCUUUUCCCACGAUGGUAUUGAAUGGUACGAUCGUAAUCUUCAACAGCUCGAGCCAACGUUUUUGGCGCAUAAUACUUUCGUUUUGGGUGAAGAAAUACUUGAGGGUUUUAGAAAUGGGGUUUUGUACUGGGUCAAUACAAAAUUCGAUUUCACGCUCUGGGGUAGACUAAGAAGUCUUCAGGGAAUACGUUAGGAAAUUUAUUAACAAUAGAAAUAUCAUUCAAAACUGUGACUCUCAUCCAAGACUUGGAUAACAUGUCACAUUGAUACCUAUCAACUUGCCACCGUUAUUCAGGGCGUCUCCUAUGAAAAGUCUGGCUUCGGUUCAUUCCACACAAGGAAGUUACCAACGAAAGGCUCAGGGCUCUUUACUUAUGACUUGAUAUGAUAGUGAUUGACUUUAGUGGUUUGGUUGUUUGAAUUCGCAAAAUAGGUUGGUUAGGAAUAUGAAAGCUAACAACCUUUCAAAAAUAAUCAAUUUUAGCAUGAUGAAUAAUUAACCAAUCGAUUCCUAAAAUCACAUCAAAGGCAAGUAUUUUCAAAGAGAUAAGAUCGACAGGUAACAUAAAAGUGUCGAUUUGAAUCAAUAAGAUUUAUAAACAGUGGAGGUAAUGAAGGUUUCUCCUAACGGAGUUUCAACAGAUAAGUUAAAGUCUAAUUUCUCAAGAGUCAAGUUCAAACGUUGAACACAACAAGGUGAAAUAAAAGAGUGGGUAAAACUGAUAUCGAAUAAGGUAUAGACUUCACAAGAGUUUAUGAUUACUUACUCGUGAUAACUUCGUUCGAGUUCCUCGACAAACGCUCUCACUUAAACUACCGGCUAUGACUUGUCUAGGACAUCCUUUAGCGUCACUAUCCCAGCUGGACUUGACUUCACUACACGACAAAAUCGAGCUAGGUGACCUUCUCUCCCGCAAUUGAAACACGCUUUGGGUUGCUGCGUACAGUUUGGACAGAUGUGUCCCUCCUGUCCGCAUUUGAAACAUACGACCAGUGGUCGUUCUUCUUCCUUUGAAACGGGUGCCGGUGCUGCUUUCUUUCCAUCAUUAUUGAACAUUCUCUUCUUGAAAUUUUCACUUCUAUUAUCUUGGCCAUUAUUACCACCGAAGUGGUUACCAUUCUUGGCUUGAUAAUUUCUCCCACGAUGGUUAUCAUUGUUCCGAUGGCCGUUGCCACCGAUAUGAUUAUUAUCGUGUUGUUGGUCGUUAACUUUUGGUUGUGUUGACUCAUUAUCGCGCUCCACUAACUGAGCCCUAUUCACAACAUCUGAAUAUAAACAAAGUUUGUGAGAAAUGAGGUAUUGACGUAUUUCAGGUUUCAAACCUCUUAGAAACAUUCACGUCAUUCGCUCCUCAUUAUCGACCAAAUGGGAUGAAAACCGAGAUAACUCCGCAAACUUAGUCUCGUACUGCGACACGGUUAUAUUGUUUUUCUCCAGCUUGAUGAAUUCCACCUCCUUCAUGUGACGAAUACUUUCGGGAAAGUACUUGUCGUUGAACAAUUCUUGGAACUUCUCCCAAGACAUCUUGAGUGCGUCAGUCUGGGUACAUUUUACAGAUUCUCACCAAUGAUCUGCUUCUUCAUGCAACAUAAAGGUGGCGAAUGGAACCUUUUGCUCCUCUGAGCAUUCUAAGACAUCAAAUAUCUUGGUGAUUUGCUUUAUCCAUGUCUCUGCCUUAAGUGGUUCUGGCUUUCCCAAAAACUCCAGUGGUCCCAGCUCCUUGAACUGCUUAGCGGUGACCAACUGUGGGUUGCCAUUGUUUCCACCUGCAUUAUGAACAGGAGUCUCUCUCGUUUGGUGUUGCAUGAACUGCACAAAGCCUCUGAACAUCCCAUCGUUCAUCAUUUGAUCAAUGUUGUUUAUAGGAGGAUUAUUGUCUUUCUGUUGCACAUUAUCCUGGGUAUUGGUCGUUGGUGACUCAACGGUCUCCUGUGCUCCAUUGCUAUUCUCAACAUUCUCGGAUGUCAUUUUUAAAUACUGCCACAAAACAAGGGUUAAUUGACAUACCACAUAUUAUCCAUAUACUCUGACCGAUCAAUUAAAUACCAAUUAAACUUAGGUAGGUCAUACUAGUGAAGGAAUUCUCUGUCUCUCCCCUCCUUGUUCUUGUCUAACAUCUCAGCCAGGGAUCAUAUCCCAAAGCUUUGAUACCAACUGUGACGCCCCUAAAAUAGGUAUACAUCACCUAUCUUGAGUCACCAAAUACAUGGUACAGAAUUCAAAUACAAACUUAAAUAUACAACAUGAGCUGUGAGUAUUAAUACAAAUAUUGUCUUCUAGACAAUAUUUAAACUCAAAAUAAGUCCUCAAUACAUUUAUUAUCAUACUAUUUCACAGAAUAGUGAGGACUACUAAUGCAAACAUCUGGACCGUCAAUCCAUUCCCCGACUAGUCCCAGCUAUAUUCUCAUUUCCUGAAGAGAACAGUGAAAGAAAGGGUGAGCUCAACUAGCCCAGUAAGAAAUAAUAUGACUAAGAUAAUGCAGAAUAAAUUAUCCUUAGCCUUCAACAGUAUAACAACUGAUAGAAUAUAAUAGACAACAAGUUUUAAAUCAACAACUGUAGCGGAAUAAGCAAUCCAUUAAAAAAGUCAAGUAGAGCAUGAUAUCUACUAUCUUCUAUGAUUUAAAAGAUUUAUCAUCGAUUUUAUCGCUGAGACUCAACUUAAUAAAUAAUCCACAUCAUCGAAUAAUCCCUGCACUACGGACCAAAGAUAUUCAUUAGUAUCACAACUACGAAUUAUCCAUACACUACGGGCAAAAGAUAAUCGUGUUUUUAUCAACGGUCAUGAGCAUGCCAUAAAAAAAUUCAUCUUUACAUUACGGUCAUGAUUAUACCGAAUAAUCCCUGGUCAUAAUCACCAAGUCCAUCUAUGCACUACGGGCCAAAGAUGACUUUCAUAACAAUAUAAGCAUGACAAUGACAUAAUAAUUCAAUAAAACAAGUUCAAGGAUAAAUUUUUAAGAUUUAUAAUUUAAUUUAUCCAGAAAUCAAUAACGUCCAAAUUGUAAACAUGAUACUGCUUUGUGGAGUAAAAUUCAAGAAUAAUAUUGUACCAAAAAUAAUUUGGACCAAAAAUGAAUCAAUUUUUAUCAUGAAUAGUACCCUAGGUGAAUAGUACUCGAGUGAAUAGUGCCCCGUGAAUAGUACUUCGGGAAUAGUAACCCCGCGAAUAGUACUCCGGCAUGAAAAAAUUAAAACUUAUCAAGAAUGCUCAGAAUAAUAUUUUCAUGAAAAGAUACUGGAUGAAGCGCAAAUAUCAAGGAUAUUCUAUUAAUUUCAUAGAGUGAAGCCAAAAUUUUAACAAAACGAGUAUAGAAUUCGAAAUCUGAGACGAAAUAAUAUUACUUACAUACUACAAAGUAUGAAAGAAAAUAUUAUUUCAAGCGAAUAUUGAACAAAAAUAACUUCCCUUACGAAUAUUAAACGAAAAUAAUAUUCAUUACGAAUAUUAAACGAAUAUAAUAUUUCUUGCGAAUAUUGAACAAAAUAAAAUUUCUUAUGAAUAUUGAACGAAAAUAAUAUUCAUACGAAUACGAAAAAUAAUAUCUCUUCAGAAUGUGAAAUAAAUAAUACCUCUUACUUUAAAAAAUAGAGCAACUCCGACUGGUAAAGCAGAUAUAUUCUUGAAGAAAACUUUAACUGUUUUCUACACUCAAAGCUUCCUAAAACUCGAAAGAAAUACGCUCAAUAUUAUAGAAGAAGAAUUCUCUGAUUCUGUUGUGAUUUUCAAUUCUAACUAAACAUCCUAUUUAUAGGAGAAUGGAAAAGAUACUAUUUGAGCGCACAGUGCACAAAGGUUCACGGGCAGAAUUCUGAAUUCACGGACGAAGAAAAUUUUUCGUAUAACUUUACUAUGCAAACACUAUGCAUAAUAAAAUAUAAUAUAUUCUAUUUUUCAUAAAAAAUAAAACUUAUUAUAAUAUAUAUAUAUAUAUAUAUAUAUAUAUAUAUAUAUAAAAUAUAAUAUAACAGAAAUAGUACACCUCCCAUGACUCUGCAAACUUUCCUCCCAAUUUCAUAUUUCUUCCACACGUGGGCCCCACAUGUGGCCCCCACCUUUAAUAAAUUGAAUAAAUUUUUAUCGAUUAUUUUGAAAAAUGGGUAAAUGGGGGUUCAUAAAUACAACAAAUACUUCAUAAAAAUUCCCUCAAUAUUUUUAGCAAUAUUUAUUCAUUAUUAUUAUAAUUCGCAAUAUUAACAACAGCUCGUUCCCAGGAAAGAGGAGGCUUUUCCAAUAAGGAUUUCUCCCUAUUGGCGCGCAAUUAGGUGACCAAAUCUCUCCUUGACAGAACUUCUAGACAUUGUUAAUUAUGUAAAUAAUAAUAUGAAAAACUUGUCAUCUCAAUUAUUGAUUUAAUAAUAUAUAAAAUAUUGAUAAUAAUUAAAUCAAAUAACGUGAGAAACUAUGCAACAAUUUCUGUAGCAAUAAUUGAACAAAACUGAGUGACUUCUCACGUAAGCAUUAAUAAUCAAUGUCGUGUGCUACUAUGUAACCACGCGUAUUACUGUACUUUUACUACCGGGUAGUUCAACAGUUUAACGGUAAAACUUUCGCUGUUAUUUUCAUAAAAAGAUAUUUCUGUCGUUUUUUUAUUACGACAAUAAUUCUGUUGUGGGGUCCACCAAUGAUUGUGCCGUCGUACGAAUAUUUCCUGUUAAAACGAAUAUUCUCCGACCAAUCGAAUAUUAUAUAACAACUUAUUUUCUUUGCAAAAUUUAUAAAUAUUACCCACAACUAUAACAUUAUAUCAAAUUCACACCAUAAUAUUAAAAAAAAUAUUUUAAAAAAAUUAAAUCUUUAUUCAUAAAAUUUGGGGUCUCACAUUAUCUAAUUCCAGUAUUUGUGUAAGUACGUUAAACUAACCAAGUUCCUGCUGUGUCAGUUCUCUUAACUAGCAAUGGAUCGAGUUGAUGAAUUUUAUCAUGAACGACUAGCAGCACUCUGGGGAGUAACAUGCCAAAUUGAAGAGGUAAUAAAAGUUUAUCUGAUAAUUUUGUCAGAAUCUUGAAUUUACCUAAAAAUAUUUUCCAAUUGUUAGCAAUUAUUUGUUUUCUUGGAUUUCUCAGGGUUUGUACUUGGGUUUCGUAGGAGCUGUAAAAAAUAAAAUUGAUUUAAUUAGCUUCAAUGUCUCACAUAUAUUGUCUGUGUCCAAUUCAUUGCCACCGGCUUAUCCAAUUGAUUUCAAAUACAAGAUUGUUAAUGGUAGGAAAUUUUUAACUUCAAUUCAUCCAAUGUUUCAUUAAAACUGAAAUCUUGUUAAGCUUUAGAGUGUAGACUUCUUUGUGUAUUUUUUUUAUUUUGUUUUAAUAGUUGUUAGUGAGAUAUUGUGAGACCCCAAAUUUUAUGAAUAAAGAUUUAAAUUUCUCAAAAUAUUUUUUUUGAAUAUUAUGGUGUGGAUUUGAGAUAAUGUUAUAGUUGUGGGUAAUAUUUAUAAAUUUUGAAAAGUAUGCAAGAUGUUGUAUAAUAUUCUUUUUGUCGGGGAAUAUCCGUACGACGGUACAAUCAUUGGUGGACCCCACAACGGAAUUAUUGUCGGAUUGAGAAAAGGACAAAAAUAUUUUUAUGAAAAUAACGACGGAAGUUUUACCGUUAAAACUGUUGAACUACCCGGUAGUAAAAGUACAGUAAUACGCGUGGUUGCAUAGUAGCACACGGUAUUGAUUAUUAAUGCUUACGUGAGAAGUCACUCAGUUUUGUUCAAUUAUUGCUACAGAAAUUGUUACAUAGUAUCUCACGUUAUUUGAUUUAAUUAUUGUCAAUAUUUUAUAUAUUAUUAAAUCAAUAAUUGAGAUGACAAGUUAUUCAUAUUAUUAUUUACAUAAUUAACAAUGUCUAGAAGUUCUGUCAAGGAGAGAUUUGGUCACCUAAUUGCGCGUCAAUAGGGAGAAAUCCUUAUUGGAAUAUUCUGUAGGUGUGUAUUACGCCUAACCUGAUUCCAUUAUUUAUUAUUCUAUUGGAAUAACCUGUCUAUGUGGAUUACCACAUGCAUGGUGAAUGAUCCUUUGUAUUCAUUCCUUAUUAAAUUGUGAAAAUGAUCUGUUUACGUGGAUUAACGCAUGGCGGGUUAAAAUUCAUUUGCAGUUUCGUAAUUUUUCGGAUAGUCAAAAAUUCUGGAAAACUUUGGGAGGAUAUUAUGAUAAGUUUUCUAACAUCUCCAAGUGGAAUCAUUGAAAGAGGAGUUGUAGAAUUUUGUAUGGAAAAUUUUUAACAAAGCAUGAAAAAGUGAAAAAAAAAGAAGAUAAAAAGCUACUGCCCACAAUUUUGGAAGGGCUGUUUCGGCCACUUAAUUUGUGAAAAAAAUUUCGGCCUUUUGGAACAUGGAAAUAUAUGGUAUAAAGUACUUCCUGUCCAAAAAUGAGCUCAUUCUGACUUAAAAUGAGUAAGUUAUGACUAUUUUAAUAUUUAGAUUUUUUCGACAAAAAAUGCUAUAAUCGGAGUUCUAUAACUCCGAUGACCAUGAAAUUUAAACUGGAAGCUCACGUUAACAUAUGUAAGAUCUUGUCAAGAUUUGGGAAUUUCUGGAAUUAAACUUGAGGUAGCUAAUUUCUUAAGGAAUUAAUUAGAAAUUGAUUUUUGAAAAAUACUUAAGGGAGUUGAAAAAUUAUAAAAAAAUACUUGUUGUGUAUGAAAUAUAUGUAUAUAUGUUUGGACGAAGGAUAGAAAAAUAAUAAGUUAAUUUGAUAAUUUUUCAUAGAAAUGGUUUAGUUACAAACAUAUGAGUUAAAUAUGUUAUGUGAAGUUGAAGAAUUGGUAAAUAGGAUUUUAGGGCUUGAAAAUNNNNNNNNNNNNNNNNNNNNNNNNNNNNNNNNNNNNNNNNNNNNNNNNNNNNNNNNNNNNNNNNNNNNNNNNNNNNNNNNNNNNNNNNNNNNNNNNNNNNNNNNNNNNNNNNNNNNNNNNNNNNNNNNNNNNNNNNNNNNNNNNNNNNNNNNNNNNNNNNNNNNNNNNNNNNNNNNNNNNNNNNNNNNNNNNNNNNNNNNNNNNNNNNNNNNNNNNNNNNNNNNNNNNNNNNNNNNNNNNNNNNNNNNNNNNNNNNNNNNNNNNNNNNNNNNNNNNNNNNNNNNNNNNNNNNNNNNNNNNNNNNNNNNNNNNNNNNNNNNNNNNNNNNNNNNNNNNNNNNNNNNNNNNNNNNNNNNNNNNNNNNNNNNNNNNNNNNNNNNNNNNNNNNNNNNNNNNNNNNNNNNNNNNNNNNNNNNNNNNNNNNNNNNNNNNNNNNNNNNNNNNNNNNNNNNNNNNUGAGUCUCAGCGUUAAAGUUGAUGAAAAUCUUUUUAAAUCAUAGAAGAUAGUAGAUUUUAUGCUCUACUUAACUCUUCUAAUGGAUUGCUUAUUCCGCUGCAGUUGUUGAUCUAAAACUUGUUGUCUAUUAUAUUCUGUCAGUUGUUAUACUGUUGAAGGCUAAGGAUAAUUUAUUCUGCAUUAUUUUAGUCAUAAUAUUUCUUACUGGCUAGUUGAGCUCACCCUUUUGCUUUCAUUGUUCUCUUUAGGAAAUGAGAACGUAGCUGGGGCUAGUCGGGGAACGGAGUGAUGGUCCGAGAUGGUGUCAUAGUAGUCCUCACUAUUCUAUAAAAUAGUGUGAUAAUAAAUGUAAUGAAGACUCCAUUAAGUGUGGAUAUUGUCUAGAUGAUAAUAUUUGUAUUAAAAUUCACAGCAUAUAUUUUGUCGUAUUUUACACGACUGUUGUAUAAUUAAGUUGUAUUUGAAUUUUAUGUACCAUUUAAGUGACGACCCAAGAUGGGUGAUGUAUACCUGUUUUGGGGGCAUCACAGUUGGUAUCAAAGCUUUGGGAUAUGAUCUCUGGCUGAGAUGUGAGACAAGAACUAGGAGGGGAG
rnacentral:lncRNA from 1 species